CUAAAAAAUCUCCAACGGAAAAGCCUAAAAAAUCUCCAACAGAAAAGGUUGGAGAUAAAGGAGAGGCUGGAAAUUUUGAAAUGAUGAAAAUGAACAUCCGUAGACGCUUGGAGGAGGCAAAACGUGAGCAACAGUACCGGAGAGAAAUUUGCUCACGAGCCCGCGAGCUGAGAUGUGGAAUGGAA